GACGAACGCUGGCGGCGUGCCUAACACAUGCAAGUCGAGCGGGGUUGACUUCAGCACUGAGCAUUUUGGCAUAGGGCCCAGCGCAUAUGCAGAAACGACCUUGAUGUAAAAGAUAUCAAUAAGAGGUUUCUGCAUCACGCGUAUAUAGUGCCAACACAAAACCGAGGGUAUGAGUUGCACAUGGGUGGAUACACAGAAAACUGAGGAGCUGAAAUGUUGAGUGCUGGAGGCAACCUAGCGGCGGACGGGUGAGUAACGCGUGAGCAAUCUGCCUCAUACAGGGGGAUAACAGGUGGAAACACUUGCUAAUACCGCAUAAGACCACAGCGCUGCAUGGCGCAGGGGUCAAAGGGAGUAAGAUCCGGUAUGAGAUGAGCCUCGCGUCCCAUUAGCUAGUUGGCGGGGUAACGGCCCACCAAGGCGACGAUGGGUAGCCGACCUGAGAGGGUGAUCGGCCACACUGGGA
rnacentral:rRNA from 1 species